CCCCUUAUGAUUUGGGCUACACACGUGCUACAAUGGACAAUACAAAGGGCAGCGAAACCGCGAGGUCAAGCAAAUCCCAUAAAGUUGUUCUCAGUUCGGAUUGUAGUCUGCAACUCGACUAUAUGAAGCUGGAAUCGCUAGUAAUCGUAGAUCAGCAUGCUACGGUGAAUACGUUCCCGGGUCUUGUACACACCGCCCGUCACACCACGAGAGUUUGUAACACCCGAAGCCGGUGGAGUAACCAUUUGGAGCUAGCCGUCGAAGGUGGGACAAAUGAUUGGGGUGAAGUCGUAACAAGGUAGCCGUAUCGGAAGGUGCGGCUGGAUCACCUCCUUUCUAAGGA
rnacentral:rRNA from 1 species